rfam:Canis lupus familiaris chromosome 22, whole genome shotgun sequence.
GUACUCACUUUGGCAGCACAUAUAUAAAAAUCAGAAUGAUACAGAAAAGAUUGGCGUGACCGCUAUGCAAGAAUAACACAUAAAUUCAUAAAGCAUUAAAAAAAAUU